AUGGCGGUUGGACUAACAUCCCAGCUGUUCCAAGGAGUCACUGCUACCAACAGAUUCGGCCAAACCCACAAUUUUUGUGGAGUACGACGAAUAGCUGGUGUGGAGAUGCGACGUUUUCCCUCAUCCACUUCGUUUCCUUCACUUGCUUAUGGGCAAGAUUCCUUGGUGCAUAACUCGUCCGGGAGGAACUACAUGCCCAUGCUUUAUGUGCCUUAUAGAUAUCGGGCCUUGCGUGUUAGAUCUUUUGCCUUGCCAGUUGCUUUGAAGGAAAUUCCUUUGGUGAAGAGUGCGUCAUUAGUAUUGAAUAGGUCAUGCGACACUUUACUUGCAAAUCCAGCUACUGCACUCGUGGUACCUGCAAUUGGAAUAAUUGUAUUUGCUCUAUGGGGUUUUUUGCCUCUAGUGAAGGACAUCAGAAACCGUUUUGAUCAUGGAGGUAACUGGAAAAAGAGCCCUACAUACCUAAUUUCUAGUUCCUACCUUCAACCUUUACUCCUUUGGACAGGGGCAACACUUAUCUGCAGGGGUUUGGAUCCAGUCGUGUUGCCUUCAGCAGCAAGCCAAGCUGUUAAAACACGCCUUUUGACAUUUGUGAGAUCCUUAUCGACCGUCCUGGCUACUGCAUAUAUUAUGACAAGCUUGAUUCAGCAGGUACAGAAAUUUCUAGUGGACAUACGAAGCCCCAGUGAUACACGAGCUAUGGGGUUGGAUUUUACCAUGAGAGCUGUUUAUACUGGUAUCUGGAUUGCUGCUGUUUCUCUCUUUAUGGAGUUGCUGGGUUUCAAUACCCAGAAGUGGAUAACUGCUGGAGGUUUUGGGACAGUAUUGCUUACGCUUGCUGGUCGUGAGAUUUUUACGAAUUUCCUCUCAAGUGUUAUGAUCAAUGCCACCCGCCCAUUUGUAGUGAGUGAAUGGAUCAAUGCAAAGAUAGAUGGUGUUGAGGUAUCUGGUAUUGUUGAGCAUGUCGGCUUGUGGUCACCAACAAUCAUUCGAGGCGAUGACAGAGAAGCUAUAUACAUCCCUAAUCAUAAGUUCACAAUGUCUAUAUUGAGGAAUAACACGCGGAGAAACCAUUGGCGUAUUAAGACAUAUCUUGCUAUAAGCCACAUGGAUGCUGGAAAAAUUGGUAUAAUUGUUGCAGACAUGAGGAAAGUGUUGGCCAAGAAUCAUCAUAUAGAACAACAGAAGCUGCAUAGGAGAGUAUUCUUUGAAAAAAUUGAUCCAAAAACUCAAGCUCUUAUGAUAUACAUAUCCUGCUUUGUGAAGACAUCGCAUUUUGAAGAGUAUCUAAAUGUCCAGGAAGCUGUUAUGUUGGAUCUUCUUACGAUAGUUGGGCACCACAGGGCAAGGCUUGCUACACAGAUCCGAACAGUUCAGAAAUCAUAUGGCAACGCAGACAUUGACAACAUUCCUUUUGGAGAGGAUACAUAUAGUCCUCGUGCACGUGGCCGUCCGCUCCUGAUCGAUACUUCUGCAAGGAUCAGUGACGACAAGAAACCUCCUCGACCGGCAGUAGCACGCGAGGAUCAGAAAGCAAAGGUGGCAAGUGUAUCAGCGGUAGAGGCGAAGUCAGAUGCACCUGACGGUUCUAGUUUAAACAACUCGGAGAAGCAGGAAGAGAAAAAGUUGGUUCCAGAUGAUGCUGGGUUGAAGAAGGAUCAUGUGAAAACAACUAUACCAUCUCCCACAACUCCAUGGGCAGAUCCUGUUGCGUCUACUACUUCCAAGACCGAUGAAGGGAAGGCCCAAGGAUCAGAAGGACAAGGAGAUGGUUCUUCAGUUGCUACACCAAAGAAGGAAUCUAGUAGACCUGCCUUUGAAGACAACAUUGUUCUUGGUGUAGCUCUCGAGGGCUCGAAGAGGACACUCCCAAUCGACGAAGGGAUGAACCCUCAUCUAUCGCUAUCUGAACCUGAGCAGGACACUGGUUCGUCGCCUAAGAAGAAGGGUCAAAGCUACUCACUUUCAGGCCAAGAGAAGGCGGACUAG
rnacentral:rRNA from 1 species